UACAGAGGGUGCGAGCGUUGUCCGGAAUCACUGGGCGUAAAGGGCGCGUAGGUGGCGCCCCAAGUCAGUGGUGAAAGCUCGAUGCUCAACAUCGAGUCGGCCACUGAGACUGGGGGGCUCGAGCACUGUAGAGGCAGAUGGAAUUCCGGGUGUAGCGGUGGAAUGCGUGGAGAUCCGGAAGAACACCGGUGGCGAAGGCGGUCUGCUGGGCAGUAGCUGACACUGAGGCGCGACAGCGUGGGGAGCAAACAGG
rnacentral:rRNA from 1 species